rnacentral:rRNA from 1 species
GACGAACGCUGGCGGCGUGCUUAACACAUGCAAGUCGAACGGAAAGGCCCUGCUUUUGUGGGGUGCUCGAGUGGCGAACGGGUGAGUAACACGUGAGUAACCUGCCCUUGACUUUGGGAUAACUUCAGGAAACUGGGGCUAAUACCGGAUAGGAGCUCCUGCUGCAUGGUGGGGGUUGGAAAGUUUCGGCGGGUGGGGAUGGACUCGCGGCUUAUCAGCUUGUUGGUGGGGUAGUGGCUUACCAAGGCUUUGACGGGUAGCCGGCCUGAGAGGGUGACCGGCCACAUUGGGACUGAGAUACGGCCCAGACUCCUACGGGAGGCAGCAGUGGGGAAUAUUGCACAAUGGGCGGAAGCCUGAUGCAGCAACGCCGCGUGCGGGAUGACGGCCUUCGGGUUGUAAACCGCUUUCGCCUGCGACGAAGCGUGAGUGACGGUAAUGGGUAAAGAAGCACCGGCUAACUACGUG